UUAAGUGAAUAAGGGCGCACGGUGGAUGCCUUGGCACUAGGAGCCGAUGAAGGACGGGACUAACACCGAUAUGCUUUGGGGAGCUGUAAGUAAGCUAUGAUCCAGAGAUUUCCGAAUGGGGGAACCCAAUAUCUUUUAUAGGAUAUUACUUUUCAGUGAAUACAUAGCUGAUUAGAGGUAGACGCAGAGAACUGAAACAUCUUAGUACCUGCAGGAAGAGAAAGAAAAUUCGAUUCCCUGAGUAGCGGCGAGCGAAACGGGAAGAGCCCAAACCAACAAGCUUGCUUGUUGGGGUUGUAGGACUCCAAUAUGGUAGUCUGUUAGUAUAGUUGAAGGAUUUGGAAAAUUCCGCUAAAGAGGGUGAAAGCCCCGUAGACGAAAUGCUGACAACACCUAGGAGGAUCCUGAGUACGGCGGAACACGAGAAAUUCCGUCGGAAUCCGCGGGGACCAUCCCGCAAGGCUAAAUACUCCCUAGUGACCGAUAGUGAACCAGUACCGUGAGGGAAAGGUGAAAAGCACCCCGGAAGGGGAGUGAAAUAGAUCCUGAAACCGUGUGCCUACAACAAGUCAAAGCUCGUUAAUGAGUGAUGGCGUGCCUUUUGUAGAAUGAACCGGCGAGUUACGAUUGCAUGCGAGGUUAAGUCGAAGAGACGGAGCCGCAGCGAAAGCGAGUCUGAAUAGGGCGAAUGAGUAUGUAGUCGUAGACCCGAAACCAUGUGAUCUACCCAUGUCCAGGUUGAAGGUGCGGUAAAACGCACUGGAGGACCGAACCCACGUACGUUGAAAAGUGCGGGGAUGAGGUGUGGGUAGCGGAGAAAUUCCAAACGAACUUGGAGAUAGCUGGUUCUCUCCGAAAUAGCUUUAGGGCUAGCCUCGGAAUUGAGAAUGAUGGAGGUAGAGCACUGUUUGGACUAGGGGCCCAUCUCGGGUUACCGAAUUCAGAUAAACUCCGAAUGCCAUUCAUUUAUAUCCGGGAGUCAGACUGCGAGUGAUAAGAUCCGUAGUCGAAAGGGAAACAGCCCAGACCACCAGCUAAGGUCCCAAAAUAUAUGUUAAGUGGAAAAGGAUGUGGGGUUGCACAGACAACUAGGAUGUUGGCUUAGAAGCAGCCACCAUUUAAAGAGUGCGUAAUAGCUCACUAGUCGAGUGACCCUGCGCCGAAAAUGUACCGGGGCUAAACAUAUUACCGAAGCUGUGGACUACACCAUUAGGUGUAGUGGUAGGAGAGCGUUCUAAGGGCGUUGAAGGUCGAUCGUGAGGACGGCUGGAGCGCUUAGAAGUGAGAAUGCCGGUAUGAGUAGCGAAAGACAGGUGAGAAUCCUGUCCACCGUAUGACUAAGGUUUCCUGGGGAAGGCUCGUCCGCCCAGGGUUAGUCGGGACCUAAGCCGAGGCCGAUAGGCGUAGGCGAUGGACAACAGGUUGAUAUUCCUGUACCAGUUGUUUUUGUUUGAGCAAUGGAGGGACGCAGUAGGCUAAGGAAUGCAUGCGAUUGGAAGUGCAUGUCCAAGCAAUGAGUCUUGAGUAGAGUUAAAUGCUUUACUCUUUAAGGACAAGUUGUGACGGGGAGCGAAAUAAUAGUAGCGAAGUUCCUGAUGUCACACUGCCAAGAAAAGCUUCUAGUGAGAAAACAACUGCCCGUACCGUAAACCGACACAGGUAGUCGAGGAGAGUAUCCUAAGGUGAGCGAGCGAACUCUCGUUAAGGAACUCGGCAAAAUGACCCCGUAACUUCGGGAGAAGGGGUGCUGACUUCGGUCAGCCGCAGUGAAUAGGCCCAAGCGACUGUUUAUCAAAAACACAGGUCUCUGCAAAAUCGUAAGAUGAAGUAUAGGGGCUGACGCCUGCCCGGUGCUGGAAGGUUAAGAGGAUGGGUUAGCUUCGGCGAAGCUCAGAAUUGAAGCCCCAGUAAACGGCGGCCGUAACUAUAACGGUCCUAAGGUAGCGAAAUUCCUUGUCGGGUAAGUUCCGACCCGCACGAAAGGCGUAACGAUUUGGGCACUGUCUCAACGAGAGACUCGGUGAAAUUUUAGUACCUGUGAAGAUGCAGGUUACCCGCGACAGGACGGAAAGACCCCAUGGAGCUUUACUGUAGUUUGAUAUUGAGUGUUUGUACCACAUGUACAGGAUAGGUAGGAGCCGAUGAGACCGGAACGCUAGUUUCGGAGGAGGCGCUGGUGGGAUACUACCCUUGUGUUAUGAACCCUCUAACCCGCACCACUAAUCGUGGUGGGAGACAGUGUCAGAUGGGCAGUUUGACUGGGGCGGUCGCCUCCUAAAAGGUAACGGAGGCGCCCAAAGGUUCCCUCAGAAUGGUUGGAAAUCAUUCGAAGAGUGUAAAGGCAGAAGGGAGCUUGACUGCGAGACCUACAAGUCGAGCAGGGACGAAAGUCGGGCUUAGUGAUCCGGUGGUUCCGCAUGGAAGGGCCAUCGCUCAACGGAUAAAAGCUACCCUGGGGAUAACAGGCUUAUCUCCCCCAAGAGUCCACAUCGACGGGGAGGUUUGGCACCUCGAUGUCGGCUCGUCGCAUCCUGGGGCUGUAGUCGGUCCCAAGGGUUGGGCUGUUCGCCCAUUAAAGCGGCACGCGAGCUGGGUUCAGAACGUCGUGAGACAG
rnacentral:rRNA from 1 species